UACGUAGGUGGCAAGCGUUGUCCGGAAUCACUGGGCGUAAAGCGCGUGUAGGCGGGAAGGCAAGUCUGCUGUGAAAGCGCCUGGCUUAACCGGGCGAGGUCGGCGGAAACUGCUUACCUGGAGGGCGGUAGAGGGGGGUGGAAUUCCCGGUGUAGUGGUGAAAUGCGUAGAGAUCGGGAGGAACACCUGUGGCGAAGGCGGCCCCCUGGGCCGCACCUGACGCUGAGACGCGAAGGCGUGGGGAGCGAACGGG
rnacentral:rRNA from 1 species